UACGUAGGGUGCAAGCGUUGUCCGGAAUUAUUGGGCGUAAAGAGCUCGUAGGCGGUCUGUCGCGUCGGCUGUGAAAUCCCGAGGCUCAACCUCGGGUCUGCAGUCGAUACGGGCAAACUAGAGUAUUGCAGGGGAGACUAGAAUUCCUGGUGUAGCGGUGAAAUGCGCAGAUAUCAGGAGGAACACCGAUGGCGAAGGCAGGUCUCUGGGCCACUACUGACGCUGAGAAGCGAAAGCGUGGGGAGCGAACAGG
rnacentral:rRNA from 1 species